rnacentral:lncRNA from 1 species
AUGGGAAUAGUUGGCUCUUCAUUGGUUCCGAAUGAAGAAAGUUUUCAAAAUGUACGUACCACAGCUAUAAACCUAAACUCGUCUAUAAUUAACAGAACAGAUGACGAAUAUUUGUAUGACUUGAUGCCACAAGGGCCGAACAUAAAUGUUCAAAGAACUUCAGCUGUUCGAAAUGUUGUAAACUUGCGUAGGAACACCUUGAAAAUUAUUGACAGAGGAAAUAACAUAUAUCUGAUUACUUUUUAUUUUGAUGCAUUAUAUGAUGUGGAAAUAUCUACUUUUUUUUGUUGUAAAGAACAAGAAACUGUAACGAAGGAAAUAAUAUUCAUUCCAACAAAAUAUAAAGUAAUUACGAAAUUGUUUUAUAAAGGGGAAAAUCAAAUGUAUAUUAAUACACCAGAUGAUGAGAUAAACUUUAAUUAUUUUGAUAUAAAUGAUUUUAAAUGUAAACCGAGCUACGAAAAUAUAAUUCCCAUUUUAAUUAUAUUGAAUGCCAUAGGAUCUCCCAUACAAUAUGCACAAUUUAACUAUGCAUAUUUACAUGUAAACGAAGACCGAGAUAUUAACAUAAAUGAAAGUAAAUAUAAAAUUGUAUUGUAUAAGCAAAAAAUAAAAUUUAACAACAGAUACUUUGAAAUUCAAGAAAUUUUUGGAAUACAAAAACCGAUUAAACAGCAACCUGAUGAAAUAAAUAACUACGCCACGGGAAGGUAAGUUAAAAAUGCGUACAUACAUACAUGAACAUGUUCUUACGUAUAUAUAUACAUAUAUAGUUAUAUUUUCAUUUAUUUAUUUAUUUUUUUUUUAUAGCGAAUGUGUUAUAUGUCUUACUGAAGAGCGU